rnacentral:lncRNA from 1 species
CUCCGCGCUCAAUUACUCCACCAACUCGGUCAUCCCAUGAUGGGCCUCUUCCAAUCUAUAUAGUACAUAAGUUAUUGCAUUACUAUAUGGACCCAAACGAAGUACAUACAAGCAUGAGAAAUAUUUGGUUUCACCUAUUGAAUUUCUUUGUAUUUUGUUUGAUGACACAUUAAAGUUAUUGCAGUAAUAUAGCUUGUUAAAAUUAAAGUUUGAUUUGAACUUUUUCUUAUAAGUAAUUUACAAGGAAACAAAAAUGUGCACUAAUGAAAAAAAAAAAAAAAAAAACUAAGCUAAAGUUCUGCUGGUAUACAAUCAUUUUCAAAGCAUCUAGUGAGGACAGAAGUACUUGUCUCAACCCUUCAAUUUGAUAGAUGAGGUUAUAAACAUUUUUCAACGGUUGGAAAUGGUAAGAUGGACUAUUUGAUCAAUGCCAGGAAAAAUUAGUUACGAACAGUGAUGUUAGCAAAAAAUGACAAGUCUUAAGGGAGACUCGAUAUGCAAUUCUCUUUUUAUGCUCGUAUUCAAUACGGUUUGUCACGUGAUGACAUGUUUGGAACGUUGUUGUAUAGUUUUGCUAAAAAUUAGAUUUUUUGUAGAUUUCGAUAAAAAUAAUGAAAUAUGUGGUUAAAAAGUUGAUAAGAAGUAAUAGGUCACAUGAAAUGAAUGUUUUACUAUUAAACAUGUUGGCAAAGCUUAAAUAAAAAAGUAAAACAUUUUUUUUUCCUAAACAUAUGUUGAAAAUUUAUUUUUUCUUAUUUCAAAAUGAAAGUUUAUUUUACUAUUAAAUUAAGUAACUUGCUUUAAUUCAACUAGAUUUAAAAAAUUAAUUAUUUUAAACUUUACUUAUAAGUAAUUAAAUAUACUAAUGAAUAUACUUUUUAAGCUUGACCAAAUUGGUCCAUAUUAUGCUAUUUUGCAACUCAAUUCUCAUUCCAAGUGUUGUGAUCUUCAUGAAUCAGGUGGCAUAUUGGCAUUGAGCGUCUUGAUUCAUUUUCCAAUGCAUGCAUCACAACUCCAUUCAACAAUCAAUUAAGGGGUUCAGUACUCUAUCUAUGUGGCCAAUUGAUGAUUUCCAAGUAAUGAUGAGUAACAUGAUUCAUUCAAUCUUGUCGUUCUUCCCAAAAGUUCAAGAGCAAUGUUGCUUAUCAUUAACUCUGAUCAUCAUUGAUGAAUGUAAAUACCUGCAUGUAAAGGGUCAACUCAACCACAUGCGAGGUACAAUUGGCAAUAUCAACAACCAUAUUCAAUUAAUGCUCAACCGAAAACUCCCUCAAGAUUUAGGCAGUGGUCUCCAGAGGAUAAAGGAGGUGCAUGGAUAACCAUGAAUUAUAUUAAACAACUUGUGCAUUAAUUAUUUGCAUGUGAAAACUAAGGAGUGCAAAGUAAUUGUUCAAACGUCGUAGUGUUGGUCCUUACCCUAUAACCUAAGUCGCAUGUUGGUCUCAACCCUUGCAAAGGAACACUUUGGUUCUCAGAUUUGCUCGUGAAAGAAAGGAAAGAGAGAGAAAAGAUCAGUCCAAUCGAAAUAGCAAUUUAGCGCCACGGAAUGAAUCAAGAAACUAAUGACGUUUUCAAUACCGACAGGAACUCCCAAAGAAAUCAAUUGUUGCAACUUCAUUACCCAUUUGGUUCUUUAUAAUUAGAGGAAUUGGGACACAUUGAUAUAGCAUAUCGAUAUAAGGAAAAUAAGAACCCGAUGGCUCAAGUCAAGUGUUCUUGCACUACUGGUCCCGAAGGACGAUAUCUAUGCUUACACUAAAUAGCUUCUAACCCAUAAAUAAUUUAUACAUGUUUAUUAUUAUGGGAUUGACUUGAAAAUUUGUCAAGGGGAUGCUAAAUUAGCCAAUGACAUUGUGAGGCGGUGGGCAUGGGCAGAUCCAGGGAUGGGCUGGACUGGCCGUGCUACAGCCCGUCCCCUUCAGCCCAAAUGUCCAUUAAAAAAAAAUUUUUAAUUAUUAUUUUUUUUAUGUGCAAUAAUGUGCAAUAUUUUUUUAUACGUA